CCCAGCCUGGCAGGAUAUGAGACAUGUUUUCUACUUGCACAUGUGAUGAAGGAAUAACUAAUGUUCAAGCUGCAAGUUGUCUAUACUUCAUGUUCUUUGAAUCCUUCUUUUGGUCAACAUCUUCUUUGGAUGCAAGUAGAAAGCAAGCACAAAUAAUAUCAUUAAUGAUUGGGGUUCCACUGGACCCCUGGAUGCAAAAUAAGCCCAAGCCAUUCUAAAUAUCAUGGCA
rnacentral:lncRNA from 1 species